rnacentral:rRNA from 1 species
GACGAACCGUGCGAACGUUAUUCGGAAUCACUGGGCUUAAAGCGCGUGUAGGCGGGACGGCACGUCCGUCGCUGAAAUCCCCCGGCUCAACCGGGGAACUGGCGGGGAUACGACCGUCCUGGAGGGACGUAGGGGGGACCUGGAACUUCCGGUGGAGCGGUGAAAUGCGUUGAGAUCGGAAGGAACGCCCGUGGCGAAAGCGAGGUCCUGGACGUUUUCUGACGCUGAGACGCGAAAGCCAGGGGAGCGAACGGG